CCUGAUGCAGCCAUGCCGCGUGUGUGAAGAAGGCCUUCGGGUUGUAAAGCACUUUCAGUCAGGAGGAAAGGGUGUGAGUUAAUACCUCACAUCUGUGACGUUACUGACAGAAGAAGCACCGGCUAACUCCGUGCCAGCAGCCGCGGUAAUACGGAGGGUGCGAGCGUUAAUCGGAAUUACUGGGCGUAAAGCGUACGCAGGCGGUUUGUUAAGCGAGAUGUGAAAGCCCCGGGCUCAACCUGGGAACUGCAUUUCGAACUGGCAAACUAGAGUGUGAUAGAGGGUGGUAGAAUUUCAGGUGUAGCGGUGAAAUGCGUAGAGAUCUGAAGGAAUACCGAUGGCGAAGGCAGCCACCUGGGUCAACACUGACGCUCAUGUACGAAAGCGUGGGGAGCAAACGGGAUUAGAUACCCCGGUAGUCCACGCCGUAAACGAUGUCUACUAGAAGCUCGGAACCUCGGUUCUGUUUUUCAAAGCUAACGCAUUAAGUAGACCGCCUGGGGAGUACGGCCGCAAGGUUAAAACUCAAAUGAAUUGACGGGGGCCCGCACAAGCGGUGGAGCAUGUGGUUUAAUUCGAUGCAACGCGAAGAACCUUACCUACACUUGACAUACAGAGAACUUUCUAGAGAUAGAUUGGUGCCUUCGGGAACUCUGAUACAGGUGCUGCAUGGCUGUCGUCAGCUCGUGUUGUGAGAUGUUGGGUUAAGUCCCGCAACGAGCGCAACCCC
rnacentral:rRNA from 1 species